rnacentral:lncRNA from 1 species
CCCUUAAAAAAUGCACUGUGCAUUUGUGCUUCAGCCCCUCCGCUGCCCAGUCUGUUACAGAUAGGCAUCAUCUUCUAAA